rnacentral:lncRNA from 10 species
ACAGCUCUCUAAAGUCUUAUUUCAGGUUUCCCAAAACUUUUAUUGGAAAAUUAAUAGUUUUAUGUCCCAACUAAUGUUAAUAGGUAUGAUUAAGAGUAUGUCUAAAUUUCUCUAUUUAUUGCAUGUCCUUGUUUCUAGAUGAUAAACACAGGCAUUGAGCUGCCAGGUACUUGGUGUGUAAUAAAAUGUCAACUGGUUGAGGUAGUGAGGCUCUCCAUAAUAAACAGAUUACUUGCUAUAUGCUCGUUAAUGUUAAGUGCAAAGGUAAGGUACAGUCCCUACCCUCAAAAAGUUGUUCCGAAAUACUAAAUGUAUUGUGUUUCUAAAAGCAUACUAUUUUGGAAAAGACUUUGAAAGCUUUAGUUCUAACUUAUACUUUUAGGAAGAUCCAGAUCUAAGCAAUUUCAAACUCAAAUGUAAAAUAUAGUAUUGCGUUUUGUAAAACCCAUUUUUUCUUUAUAUGUAGUAUGUUACUUUUUUCUCCAUGACUGGCUACAGAAGGAAGCUAUUUGCACUGCUGUCAAUAGGACCCUCAGAACUUUAUCAUCAAAUCUCAAGUAAUAAUUAGGCUUAAUAGAGAGUUUUGUAUACCAUGGCCAUCCCUGUUUAUUUCUCAGUUAGAUAUAUGAUAUUCAUACUUAUAUAUUAGUUCAUUAUCCAUACUGUGAUGUCUUUUGAGGACGUAGCAUCCAGUGGACUAAGGUACAACUUUCAAGGGCAUUUUGUCUUAGGUUCUUUCUUCCUUCCCUACACAUUUUGACUUGUAGAAUGGGUAGCUGCUGGGAAGUUUUCCCUACAAGAACUUGACGUGGAAAAAUUCUGAUUACAUCAUUUCCAAAUCAUCCUUUUUCUUGGCUAUAAAUUUCAAAAAUUGUUAAACAUCUUAAUGUUCUUUGACAUCACACCAUUAUUAUUUUCACUGAAAUGAUGACUAUCUUGUUUAGCCAUUAAUACCUUUGAAGCCAGAGAUGUCCCACUGGAGAAACUAAUAUAAUUCAAAUUUAAACAUUUGCUAAAAAAAGAAAAAAAAGUAUUUCUACUUCUUUUUGAUAAUUUGCUUUUUUUUUUCUUCUACAUGCUGUGUACAUCCUUGUUCCUAUUUAAUUUAGAUUCUAAGUCCGCUAGACUAUACACCCUUCAGUGCUUGUGUCCUGAGUCAUACUGAGUAAAUAGCUGCUUGGUAAAUUCUAAGUAUUGGUUUUUAAUUUUUUUCUUCCUGAAUUGUUGCAGCAACAUUCUAUCUAAAUUACUACUUUUGGCUCUUCAGGAAAAAGUGACAUUUUAAUUAUAAAUGAUAUACAAAAUCAAAACUAUAGACAGAGCUCCUUUGGGCUUGUGAAGGCAUCACCUUUUGUUUUGGGGGGUUUUGUGUUUGUUUUUUUUUUGUUUUGUUUUAAUAAAGACAGGGUCUUCCUAUAUUUCCCAGGCUGGUCUUGAACUCUUGGCCUCAAGAUACCCUCCCAUGUCAGCCCACCAAAGUGUUGAGACUACAGACAUGAGCCACUGCACCCAACCACCAUUAUCUUGUAUAGAAAGAACUUUUUAUGUAAAUUAUGUAAAAUCAUAGCCUUUAAAUAUACCCAUUCCUCACCUCCACUUCUCUGUGUUAUAAAAUACUAUUACCUGGUGAAAUUGACAUUGUACAGUGGUUAUGCAGUGACUGGAUUGUAUUCCUAAUGCACAAGAUGAAACCAUGUGUGAAAAGCACUCCCUUUUUUGUGGAUGUGUGGUUAGCCUAGAAGAAAUACAUUCCCUGAACUGUCUCCAGUGAAAUUACUGAACUUUUAACUCCAAAGUUGCGUAUGUCCUGGAUAUUUAUUUGAGUUUUUCCUUUUAAGGAAUCAGAAGGAAGCUGUUCCUUAGCACAUGCAGAGUCAUAAAUACUGUAACACAGGGGAAAAGAUACUGGUAUAGGAUUAGGGGACUCUGAGUUUCAAACACUUAACAUUGAGGCUCAGAUUAUCAGGUGAAGUAGGUUUUAUGUACUUGGAUUAUGAGAAAUGAGUCUGACUUCAGCUCAACAUCCCAAAAUAAUAAUAGGCUCUGCUCCACGAUAAUAAAGUCCUCAAUAUACUGUACAACUUCUGCUUUGACACCACAGUGCAAAAUUAUCUUAAAACUAUGCCAAAUUGGGAGACAUUUAGAUUUUAUGUCAUCUGAAGCCUUUUUUAUAUUCCUGAAGGCUGGCCUAGAAGCCGAGCUAAAUCCUUAAUCCUUAACAAACUUAAGCUCCUUCACUAUAGCCUGACCUGCCCCUUUUUGUAUACUUCAGAUAUUAAAGAUCUCAGUAAACGUACAACAGCUAGUUAAUUGUAAGUUUUGAAUUUCUGUAUUUAUAGAAACAUUACAACACUUUAUUUGGAACAGCAUUCAAUGAAUGCAUUGCCUUCUAAAGGGAUUUGCUGAAUCACUUGAUCUAGUUUGUGAUCCAUUCAACACUUUCAUAGAACUUAAACAUUAUGUGUGUGAAGCAUCAGCACAGCUGUAAUUGUGUCCCAUAAGCACAUUUUUUACUCCUACAUUCAAAUCUUGAUUCCUACUCAUGAGCUCUUUCAGCAUUUUAUACCUGUUUACUCAAAACAACUUGCCUAAGUCAGAGCUUUACAAUAAUCAGGUGAUUUUUUUGUCCUCACCCUUUAUUUUUCUCCCAAGAGUUAGUGUUUGAUUGCAGCUUUACAUCAAUAAACAUUUUAAUGAUUACUUGACUUCUUGAUAUUGUACCUAUAUGUGUUUUUUCUGCAAUCAAAGAUAAUGCUAAAGAACACAAACAUUUCACCCUUUCUAGAAAGAAGCCCUUGCUGUAAUUGAGGAGAAAAAGUUUUUCUGGAGAUUUAUAAUAAUAGCUAACACUUAACGAAUACUGCCAGGUAGUGAUCUGAGCACUCGUAUUCACUCCUUUUGUCCUCACAACAACCAUAUGGUAGGUAUCAUAGGUGUCCUUAAGAAAUGAAAGUUCAGAGAAUUUAACUGGUUUGCCCAAGUCUAUACAGUUAAUAACUGUUAAAGCAGACAGCCUAACUCCAGAGUUUAUGCUCUUAACCAUUCAGUUAUGUUCUAGGAGAAAAUAAAGAAGGGUGGAGGUGGAGCAGUCUUAGCAAUAUUUGUUUUUUGUUUGUUUGUUUGAGAUGGAGUUUCACUCUUGUUGCCCAGGCUGGAGUGCAAUGGCACGAUCUUGGCUCACCGCAACCUCCGCCUCCGGGGUUCAAGCGUUACAGGCAUUCGCCACCACGCCUGGCUAAUUUUGUAUUUUUAGUAGAGACGGGGUUUCUCCAUGUUGGUCAGACUGGUCUUGAACUCCCAACGUCAGGUGAUCCGCAAUGCCUCAGCCUCCCAAAGUACUGGGAUUAUAGGCAUGAGCCACCAUGCCUGGCCACAAUAUUUGACCUUUGUUUUUUUGUUUGUUUUUGAAAUGGAGUCUCACUCUGUCACCCAGGCUGGAGAGCAGUGGCACAAUGUCGGCUUCUGGGUUCAAGCGAUUCUCCUACCUCAGCCUCCCAAGUGGCGCCCGCCCCCAUGCCCAGCUAAUUUUUGUAUUUUUAAUAGAGACAGGGUUUCACCAUGUUGGCCAGGCUGAUCCCAAACUCCUGACCGCACGUGAUCCACCCGCCUCGGCCUGCCCAAGUGCUGGGAUACAGGUGUGAGCCAUAGCUCCCGGCCAGUAUUUGACCUUUGAAUAUGUCACUUCACUAAGUAGGCAUUACUGUCACCCUUGACAUAUGUAAAUUUUAUAUUUCUUCAAAUAAUGUUUUAUUCUCUCAGGAUAUGUGUCUAAUAUUUGUUUCUUUUGUAUGAUAUAUGUUAAACCUUAUAUGAAUGUUUUCAUCUGUUUCUACCACAUCUCAGAUGUUCUUGAUAGGAAUAAUUUCUCUAUAGUAUUUAAAAUACAUCUUAAUGUGUUCAUUCCUGUUUUAUUAAUACUUUUAACUGUGUAUCUUGGCUACUAAAGCACCAUACCAAUUCAUUCCUAUGGUGUGCCUUUUGAACUGUAAGUGGAGCAGGAAAAAGUUUCAUUUAAAAUGUAUUUUGCUAAAUUUAACAAGAAAUCAAAGGUGUUUCCUGCUUAUAUUUUUUUCUUACUGCAGAGGUUUUAGUAUAUACCAAACUCCUGUGCAUCAAAAUGGCAAAAAUCUAAUCUGAGGCUUAUAAUAAUCUUUUGAUACCCUAAUAAAGGUAAGCAAAACCAUUUAAGAAAAUUGAUGUUAAAAUAACCCAAAUAAGCCUGUGUCUUAAGAUAGACAAAAGAAACAAUAUAUUGCUUUUGUAUUUAAAGUAGUUUAUUUUUACUAGAGUUUACUAAUUUGUCGUAUUGUACAUCCUUUGUAUAUGUGGAAGGUAUUCAUUAUUCUAAUGUAACCAUAAAGCAGAAAAUCUGUAAAAGAGUAAUAUGGAAAGCUCUUUCCUCAUUAUGUUUGUAAAUAGGGGACCCUAAAGUAAGAAUAACAAUGAAAAUAAGACUCCUAAUCUGAACGUAAAUUAAGAAAUGAUACUGGCUUCCUUCCUAACCUUAAUUUCUUAAAUUUGAAGGCUUAUACUUUUCUCCCUGCCCCACCACCACCACCAAUAGUAUUAUUAAAAUGAACAGGAGGUUAAUUUCCUGGGAAACAUAUUGCCAAGGAUACAUGUUUCAUGAGUGGGGUCUAGAAUUUCACAAAAGCCUAUCUCCUUUGAUCAUGGGAAGCUUCAGGAUGAAGAAUCAAUUAACAACGUUUCCAUUUUCCAGCUCAUCUUCCAAAAGUGAGC